rnacentral:rRNA from 1 species
AUUGAACGCUGGCGGCAGGCCUAACACAUGCAAGUCGAGCGGAGCGGCGGAAGGGGGAGUAAUGCCUAGGAAUCUGCCUGGUAGUGGGGGAGAACGUGCGGAAACGGGCGCUAAUACCGCAGAGUAUCAGAUGAGGCCAGGUGGGAUUAGCUAGGUGGGGGGGGAAAGGCCUAGCAAGGCGACGAUCCGUAACGGGUCUGAGAGGAUGAUCAGGCACCCUGGAGCUGGGACACGGUCCAGAAUCCUUCGGGAGGCAGCAGUGGGGAAGAUUGGACAAUGGGCGAAAGCCUGACCCAGGCAUCGCGCGUGUGUGAAGAAGGUCUUCUGUUUGUGAAGCACUCUAAGUUGGUGUGCGGUACCUAAAGAAUAAGCACCGGCUAACUUCGUGCCAGCAGCCGCGGUAAUUC